rnacentral:lncRNA from 1 species
AUGCUUCGUCUUUGUGCAGUCUCGCCUGGACCCAACAUACCCAAUGCUCAUCACUGGCAUCAUGUCGCUGGUCCUGAGUAUCCUCUCCCUGUUUCUGCCCGAAACCAAAGGCAAGCACAUGCCACAGACCCUGCAAGACGGGGAGCUGUUUGGAGCAGACCAGCGUAUCUUGGAUUUCCCUUGCCUUGGUGACAAAGGCGAGCCGACAAAUUGUGAUUCACCCAGGGCUUCUGCUGCAGCGAGCUGCUAGGCAUUGACAGUCUGCAGUUUUCCUCUACGAGUGCUUCGCACGAUCAGCAUUGGACUGGGUCAUUUGCAGGUUUAGUAUUGUCGUUGUUGUGAGGGAGACACUCAAAGGUCAGGAAAUGUAACUUAUUUCAUAAUUUUCGUGAAAUUCAUGGUUAUUUCAUAUUAUUAGUUACGUUCACAAUUGAACUACGAGCUAGCAAGGAAUGCCUGGGAAUUUUUUUUUUUAUGUUUAGGGACAGUCGCAGAUUUUCUACCCGGUAAGAUGGCGGAUGGUGCGUAAGUACACCUGUAAUAUUUUUCUCUGACUUGUAUCAUUACAGUCAACAGUUUUACAGGGUGUGCUAUUCACAAUAGAGUUUCAGGCCUGCAUUCAGCCUGAAACUAGAUUUUUAUCUCCUGCUGGUAUAUGUGACCAUAUCGUUCUGUUGUUUUACUGGCCGCAACCACACAUUGCGUUGUAAUACGUCUUUCACAGAGCCCACGCCCAAUUCUUGGAUGUAUAACUUCUUGCACUACAAGAUGUGAUUUAGUGAACAGAACUGGUAUAAAUAUGCUGCUCUGUGCAAGGUUAGCCCAAAGUACAGAAAAACAUAUAGGCGUACAGUGUAGAAAGUUGCUUGGAAUUCAUUGUUUUGCUGAAGAAGCCCAAUGUUUGGUUUAUUGGAAAAGUGACGAAAGCCUUAUUAGCUUUGUAGGAACGAAAGUGCCUUGUGAAAGAGCUUUUUUUUACCAACUGCAAAGUGGUUGUAAUCACCGAUGUCAUAGACAAAUGACUUGUAGUUACUAAGUAAACAUAUAGCCAACGAGCUUUCGUUAUAAUAUUUUCGUUUUCGCUUUAAAAAAGACAUACUUGUAGGUGACACGUGGUGAAAGUGCGUUUGCAACUUCUAUACUGUUAAAGAUGUGCACUUAUGACAAUCCUGUAGGGUGGUGCGUGCUUUGUCACAGCGUAGUCAACUAAGAGAUGGGAGCCUUUAAUUUGUGCAUCUUUCUUCGUAAUGGCAAGUUGCAAUUUGUAGGACGUAAUCUUUUAUGCUAACUUAUUGAUCAUGCAUUUUCAUAAUGUCGGUCUUGUGCUUUAUACGAAAAGGCCCACACUGUAGCACGAGUGACCGAAAGUGUGCGCUGAUUUUUGGUGGUCUUGUCUGUCAUUUCUAAUAAGAGAAAAGUUGGAAUAUAAUCUAGGAAACCUCGCCGUAACUUAUCUAUCGAAGUCAUGUCCAGUUGCCACAAUCCGUUGACAAUGUAUCAAUGCCACUUUGAGUGAAGGGGCAAGUAGGUAGUAACAUCACCUGUGCAACUCACCCUCAUGCAUUCACAUUUACUGCUUGAGACCAUAUAAUAUCUAUUUUUGUUUUUCAUGCGCACUGACUGUGCGCAUAAUAGUGAGUGUAUAGCAUGCAACAUGUGGGGAUUAUGGGUCAGGUUUAGCAGUGAUAGUUGCAAUGUCAUCAAUGCACUAAGUUAUUUACAUCUGCUAACCAUCUCUUCAAUUUUCAUCCUGAUGCGAUGCAACAUCAAGAAAGUUGAUAUACUGAAGCUCUAUACUGAUCCUGUGUUUUUUCUCUAGUUCGUGUGACUUGGUUUUCAAAUAUAUAUAUAUAUAUAAGGAAAAGGGUACUAGACAUCCACUGUCACACCUUUUCGCCUCAUUAGCUCAUAAAUGCUAGAGUGAAAGUAGCUUUCUGCAGGACAAGUCUGCAGCUGCACGACCCGACACAGGCAGCGUCCUCCUGCGAAAUCACCAACAGAAGGUGCACGCAACUAUUCUCGCAGUCUCGUUCUAGACUUGGAGAAAGGAUGAAUGCAAACCUCUCUGCAGCCGUACCCCUCAUUGCCAAUUAUUUGCAGUGCAGCGAAAACUUAGGAUUGUGUUACACUAGCAAAGUUACGUUAGCUUGGGUUACACUAGCCACAUUAGCUUAGGAUUGUGUUUCAUAAUUGCAGGUUUUGGAAAAUUCACAAAAAAACAUUUUGAUCAUUGCUUCAAGAGUAAGCAAUAUCUCCUUCCAGGCUAGUUAUUUCUAAGACGGCUCAUUUUCUAUUGCUCAAAUUCUGUAGCAAGCUUAAAUCCCCGUGGCCCUGAAUCUUUUCCGUGACCAACCUGCUCCCCUCUCCCAACUUUUGCAUAGUGUGUUGUUAGGCUCUGGAUAGUCUGGUCAGUUUAGCUCUUUCUGAGAGGCAGUCAAGUUCUUUCAUAGCAUAUCCUGCGUAUUUCACAUGUUCUGAAAUGUGAAUGUUGUAGUUAAAUGGUCGCUGGCCAUUUGUCUUGUAAAAGUGCCUGUAACGUUUUAAGUGCAAACCAGCACAAUAUUUAUGACUAUACGCUCCAAAUGGUUUGCGUUAUUCGCAUGUAGGCAGUGACCUGUAGCCUACAAAUGUUAGUUGUGUUAACUGAGGACAAACAUGAAGUGGUUAUGAAACCGCUGGGGUUACUUUCGCAUUGCACACUGUUUUAGUAGCAAAUUCUUUAGUAGGGUCUCUUGCAGUAAUCACCGAAUUGUGGGCACAUUUUUUGUUCUUGAAAAUCAACCAACUUCAGGAGAGAUCAAUGCAUUAGCAACAUUUCUAUUUCUUAUUUGCGUAGGACAUGAGAAUGCCAACAGGCUGUUGGGGAAAAGACACGUCAAGGCUCUGAAAUGCAAGGUUAUGGUGAUACUAGUGCCUUUUGCUGUGUCAAAACACCUGCUUUAAACAGUGCGAGUGCGGUAUAUGGCAUGUUAGUGGUCACACUGUACAUUUGUGCAUGUGAGCCAUCUGUGCAUGUAAACUGCAUUUAAGUUACAAACCUUGGGGAAAAAGGAUAGUCAAAACAGCCUUCUGCAUCUGGCUGCUCAAAGCAAAGCUACACGUACUAUGGUUUGUCUUAAUUACAUCUUUGCAGCUGCUCACCGUUUAAAAGCAGCAUGGCUUUUCAGUAAUGCAUGGUUGAAUUUUGUAGAAGGUUUCGGAACAAGAAUUCUUCCUUUUUUUUUCUUUUGCAGGAGUAUUGAAACACACUCUUGCAGAGCUUACUAACACAAACACAUUCAACAGUUUUGGUUUAGGAAGAAAAAUGAGCUUGUUAUGUGAGAAGCUGAGUGUUUAUAGUGACUUCAAGAUUUUGGUGAGCGAGUGAACCUUUCAAUGUUUAGGCAGCUGGUAUACACUCCUAAAUUUGCUGUGAUCACAAUAAUUUCAUUUCUGCAUAAGCUAUUACUUUCAUUAGUGCAAGCUAUUACUAAUGGCAGUUAAUAAGCUACUGAUUGUGUUAAUGUGACAAUGCCCAUUGUAUUGUUGCGACAUGCCGAAUUCUGAACUUAAUAUGAGUAGGCUAUAUCCACAAACUAAAUGAAAUCCUUCUAGGAAGAAAGAAUGAAGGAACCAUAGCUGGAAGGACGUGGUACAUUCUCGUAAUUAAUUCUCACCAGGUUCAAAUCCCAGUCAUCUGUGCUUUAAGUUCAGAAUCGUUAUGUAGUACAUCGGAUACACUGAGUGUUAUAGAGUGAACCAGUAAAAGCAAGCACUUUCUUGAAUCUCCUUAUAGUCAUCGGUCAUAGAUCUGUGUUAUCUGUUGGUGUUGUGGAUGUCAUUCAUUGCCAGUGAAGUGAAAAAAGAUGCCUCACCUGGCAUAUGUGUUCUUGGUUCAGCUAGAACAAGUGCGAUUUUCAGUAUCUCAGGACGCAUUUCAGCAUUGGCAUUAUGCAAUGCGAGAAGUGCUAUGUGGUAUUGUUAUCCACAUACAUAUCCAAAGAAACGAAGGUCAUCACCAUUAGAAGUGAACAAAGUACUACAACGAAGAGCCUGCCAUGUUUGUUUCCAUAUAAAAUUUUCUAUACAUGAUCUCUGGCUUAGUUCUUGUUUUCAGCGUACACAGUGGAAUCUCGUUGAUAUGAUUCUGCAUAAUACGUUUUUUGGCCUAAUAAGUUUUUUUUUGCUCCUGGUCAACGUUACUAAUGCCCAACUUUUCUGGUUAAUAAGAUUUUUGAAUAAUACGUUUUAUUUUUCGGUUCCCGUGAAAAACGUAUCAACGAGGUUCCACAGUAUGUAUUUGUGUAACCUUGUAUGUGACUGUGAAGUUUUCAGUGACCUGCUAGUAUUCGUUUUUACACUGCAUGCUGCUAUAGUGACAAGUUCUCAAGCAAACCCUUUUAAUGUAAUAAUAAAUUCCUUUGCAACUUUUCACCAGUGUCAGAUACUUUGGCAUUGUUACAUGUUUUGUAAUUGGAAGUAAAACGAUGGAAAGAUUCCUUGUAUACGGC